UUUCUGUACAGGAUGAAUCACAAUAAACUUGAAAAUUCAAAAAAGAAUAUAAAAGAGAAUAUGUAUCACUCGGGGAAUCAUGGGGGAUUCUCCAUAUGACACUCCAACUAGCACUUGUCCCUUGAAGAAGAAAAAACAUUUAUAUCAAGAGACCGACUCACAAACCCUGAGUUUGGAAGCUCUUGCAUAUGAAGCAAUGUGUCAAGCCCCCAUGCCUUUUUCGCAUUUAUUGUUGCAUGCUUGGAUCACAGAUUUGUUGAUCAAGCUAUCCGUCAACCCCACAUUCUUCUCUCUCAUUUACUGAUAGUUUGAUAGGUCAUCUUCUGACUGAUUUUUAAUGCUACUUUCUGUACUUACUUUUUGUUUAAAUAAACUUCUGUUUUAUUGGUUUGACGGACAAUGAAAUGAAAGAUAAAUAAACCAAAAUUAUAUAUACUUAUAUUAAAUUAAAAGGGGUGGGAUAAAAUCCAUAUUUAGAAAAAA
rnacentral:lncRNA from 1 species